CCAAACGGGCAUAUAAAAAGUUACCUGUAUCAGUGGCAGGUAUGGAAAUACAGUUAUAUAGGAAGAGACCUCCUUGUCAUUAAUGUAUUAUGAACUUGAGAUUAUAUUGAUGGUCACUGUGGAUAUGCAUAUGAUUAAAAAAAGAAUAUUCAUGUAACAGAUAUUUAUUUGUACAUUGUUCGUCUUUACUAUUUGACAAAUUGCUUUCACCUUCAAACUUCAUAUUUUUGGUCCUUAGUUCUAAGCAUAAACUCAUUGAAGGUUGACCCAGUUUUAGACAUGCAAGCAUCAUCAACAUUCAUUAAUCUUCUCGAUAUAUCAGCUGCAGUUGUCAAUCCUUUCAUUCAUGAAAUUUCAAAUUGUCAUAAUCUUCCAGAAAUGUUAGUUGUCACUGAUGAGCUUCCAUAAUUAUCAACUGUAAUUUUCAUUCCUGAAAUCUAAAGCUGUCACUGACAAUCUUCCAUACAUUAUUUACUGAAGUCAAGAUAAAGUUUUGAUGGAAGAUUUUAGGUUUUGCCUUGUCAUAUUUCACUGUGCCUAAGGUUUUAACACAAAUAGUCAUCUGUCCUCCUGAUAUUUGAUCUAAAAUAUAUAUCAAUAAAAAAAGUACAUUAAAGACAAUCUUAAAAGUAUGUGUUUUUUUGGUUUUUUUUUCAAUUUGUAUGUAGACAAGUUUUUAACUGUUUUAGUAUUGCAGAGUUCCCGAAAAGUGGUGGUCCUCAGGAUUUUACCACCAAAAUUUGGCAUAGGACUGACACUGAAUAAGUUAAGCUGAAUAAUGAGCAUAGGUAUUUGACUAAAUAUCUUUUAUAGACAUAAACCAGAUGCUCUGAAGGGCGCAUCUUUAUACGACCGCAGAGGUCAUACCCUGAACAGUU
rnacentral:lncRNA from 1 species